GUCAGGGCUCGGUCCUGAGUCAGGGCUCGGUCCUGAGUCAGGGCUCGGUCCUGAGUCAGGGCUCUGUCCGGCCAACCUCUUGUAUCAAUACAGCAGAGAACAAAAACGCAAAAAAGGCAUUUUUAGACGGCUGAUGAAGCUGGCAAAAGACGGGUUGUCAGCAAAGCCUUCCCAGGCAAAGGAAAUCAAAAGACUGAGGCUCAGGAUCAGGUCUUCAGCCUCUGCCCCUGCUGCCUCCCUUAAGCUAUGGACGAGGAAGAGGUCCUCUAAAGUCAGUCCUCUGCCAGUCCCCGCUGUGCCGGCUCCUGACACUGACCACAACAACGUAGCCGGGAUCUCUAUCAAGAAGACAAGCCAGACCGGAGCUCCUCCUGUCAGCUUCCUCUGCAAGUCCUCCAGAGUCAGUCCUCUGCUAGUCCUUGCUGUGCCGGCUCCUGACACUGACAACAGCAUCCCAGCCGGGACCUCCACCCAGAAGACAAGCCAGGCUGGAGCCCCUCCUGUUGGUGAGCGGCCCAAGGGCCCCAGCGACCUCUGCAAGUCCUCCAGAGUCAGUCCUCUGCUAGUCCUUGCUGUGCCGGCUCCUGACGCCGACAACAGCAACCCAGCCGGGAUCUCCACCCAGGAGACAAGUCAGACUGGAGCCCCUCCUGUCGGUGAGCGGUCCAAGCGGCCCAGCCUCCUCAGCAAGAUGGUGUCCUCCAUGGCCAAAGCCAUUGGAAAGACCUUCACUCCCUCCGCCCCCUGCACAACCCUUUUGUGACGGCUUCCUAACCCCCUAACCCAGGCCGAUCUAACUCGUAGCCUGGAUUACUAAUUAGGAGGUGAGUCUGGCACAAUCGCCACCAAAACGGCUCCAGGCACCCAAGCCUGCCAUGACUUUGCUGAUGCCCCUCAGCUCUAACGCACUAGUGCUCUCUAAAGUCCAAAGGUAGGGCGGUUGUCUGUGGCUGGUUGUCAGCGAAGCAUUGCCAGGAGAAGGAAAUGAAUUGGCUGAGGCCAAGACCAGACAGUCUUUGGCCUCUGCCCCAGCCUCAGGGGCUGGACUAUCUCGGGCUGCUGCAUCCUGAGGCAUCUCCGCCUAGAAAUCUGGGAGCCCUUCCCAGUGGGGAGCGACGCAGGUGCCCCACCAGCAUCCCCAGGAUGGCUCCUUGAACCCCAUCUUUUGAGGAAUUGGAUGAAGCCGGACCCAUGACAACCCUGCUGAGGCUCAAGCCCAGGUCUUUGGCUUUGCCCCUUCUGCCUCCCUGAAGCUAUUGACGAAAAAAGGGGUAAAGUCAGUCCUCUGCUAGUCCCCGCUGUGCCGCCCCUGACACCGACCACAACAACCUAGCCGGGUUCUCCACCCAGAUGACAAGUCCGACUGGAGCCCCUCCUGUCGGUGAGCGGCCUAAGAGCCCCAGCAGCCUCCGCAAGAUGCUGUCCUACGUGGCCAAAGCCAUAGGUGGUGGGUCUGGAAAAUCAGCACCGAGACGGCUCCAGGCACCCCAUCCUGCGAGUACUUGGAUGAGGCCUCUCAGCACGACCCUGCAGGGGGCUGCUGUCCAGCGUUGGGGCCGACUGUCACUGGUUGCCAGCGAAGGGUUGCCAGGAGAAGGAAGUUAAAAGGCACCCUGCUGAGGCAUAAGCCGAGGUCUUUGGCCUCUGUCCCUGCUGCCUCCCUGAAGCUAUGGAAGGGAAAGAGGUCCUCCAAAGUCAGUUCUAGUCCCCGCUGUGCCGGCUCCUGGCACCGACCACAACAACGUAGCCGGGUCCUCCACCCAGAAGACCAGUCAGGCUGGAGCCCCUCCUGACGGUGAGCGGCCCAAGGGUCCCAGCGGCCCCCCGCAAGGUGCUGUCCUGCCAGGGCCGUUGUCUCCUGCUGGUUCUCAGCAAAGUGUUGCCAGGAGAAGGAAAUGAAAAGGCUGAGGCCAAGAUCAGACAGUCUUUAGCCUCGGCCCCAGCCUCAGGGGCUGGACUAUCUCGGCCUGCUGCCUCCUGAGGCCUCUGCCCAGAAGCCUGGCCAGGCUGGAGCCCUUCCCGCUAGGGAGCGACGCAAGUGCCCCAGCGGCAUACUCAAGAUGGACGUCCCCUAGGGCCGAAGCCAUUGCCAAGCCCUUCACUACCUGCGCCCCUGCUCCAACCCUAGGAUGACAGCUACUCAUCCCCCUAUCCCAGACCUAUUCAACUGUAGCCCCCGGAUUAAUUAUCAGGUGGUUAGUCCACUACCCACACCACCAAAACUGGUCCAGGCCCCUCAACCUGCUGUUGUCUGUUGCUGAUUUCAGCGAACAAAUUCAGGCCAAGGAAAUUGAAUGGUUGAGGCCAAGACCAGACAGUCUUUGGCCUCUGCCCCAGCCUCGGGCUAGACCAUCUCAGCCCGCUACCUCCUUGAAGCAAAUGACGAGGAAGAAGUAAAGUCAGUCCUCUGCUAGUCCCCGCUGUGCCUGCUCCUGACAUCGACAACAACAACCUAGCCGGGAUCUCAACCCAGAAGACAAGCCAGACUGGAGCCCCUCCUGUUGGUGAGCAGCCCAAGGGCCCCAACGACCACUGCAAGUCCUCCACAGUCGGUCCUCUGCGAGUCGCUGAGGAAGAUGCUGUCCUGCAAGGGCCGCUGUCUCUUGCUGGUUGUCAGCGGAGCUUUGCCAGGAGAAGGAAAUGAAAAGGCUGAGGCCAAGAUCAGACAGUCUUUAGCCUCAGCCUGCUAUCUCGGCCUGCUGCCUCCUGAGUAUAUCUCUGCUCAGAAGCCUGGCCAGACUGGAGCCCUUCCCGCUGGGGAAUGACACAAGUGCCCCAGUGGCAUCCUCAAGAUGGAAGUCCUCCGUGGCCAGAGCCACUGCCAAGCCUUUCACUACCUGCGCCCUGCUCCAACCCUUUGAUGUCCGCUAACCACACCCAUAUUCCAGACCUAUUAAAUUGGAGCCCCCUGAUUUAUUAUCAGGUGGUUAGUCCACUACCAUCACCACCAAGACUGUUCCAGGCACUCCAUCCUGCUGUCGUCUGUUGCUGGUUGCAGCUAAGCGUUUUCAGGCAAUGGAAAUUACUGUAAAUGGCUGAAGCCAAGAUCAGAGAGUCUUUGGCCUCUGCCCCAGCCUCAGGGGCUAGACCAUCUCAGCCCGCGGCCCCUACUGCCUCCCUGCUGCCUCCCUGAAGCUAUGGACGAGGAAGAAGUAAAGUCAGUCCUCUGCUAGUCCCCACUGUGCCUGCUCCUGACACCGACCACAUCAACCUAGCCGGUACAUCACCCGACACCAGAUUGCAAGUCCACAAGGGCAGCGUGUGUGAAUAGUUUCAAAAUACUAAUUCUGGAGCCCCUGACGUUGAGAAGCCCAAGGGCCCAAGCAGCCUCCGCAAGAUACUGUCCUCCAUGGUCAAAGCCGUGGGCAAGCCCUUCACUACCUGCGACCCCUCCCCAACCCUUUGAUGACAGCUCCCUAACCCCCCUAACCCAGGUCAAUUCAACUUGAAGCCUGGAAUACUUCCAGUCUCCCAAAGACUCGCAUUCUUUGGCCUCUGCCCCAGCGUCAGGGGCUGGACUAUCUCAGCCCCUGGUGCCUCCCUGAAUCCUCAAACCAGAAGACAAGCCAGAUUGGACCCCCCCCCAGACUGGAUCCCAAAGACACUGCUCUCCAUGGCAAAAGCCAUUGCCAAGCCCUUCACUGCCUUGGCCUCUUUUAACUAACUUGUAACUUACUCUACUCUUUAUCAACUAUCUUGUUGGCCUCGCACAAAACCUUUGAGGGAUUCCUAACCACCCUGGAAAGACUCAGGAUUGCAGGGGGUGUGGUCUGAAUCCCUGACUUUUUUUAUGUUGUUUGUACUUGUCUGAAAUGCUGUUACUAGAUUAAGUUGCACCACUGCUGUGAGUGUACUGUUAUUGGACACUGCAAUGGCCACUUAAGUUUACGCUCAUAAGUGAUUCACUAGUGUACAUCGCUGUUACGGCUAAUGACUUGCACCAAACUCACCUGAAGUAUGCCAGCACCAGAGACUGUGCCCUCUCUCUUUUCGCCCUCUGGCUGGCUCACUGGCUGUUGUUUUGCAGUGAGCGCUCUGGUCGUGGUGUUUUGUUUUUAAAGAGCAUUGAUAAGUUGUUGAAGGGUAAGUAUUGUUUUGUUUUCCCAUGUUUUUUUCUCUUGUCUUGGUGUAGAGUGGGAUUAGAGAUGUUUAAAUAUAUUUUUAAGCCUGGACUGCAAGUUUUGUUCAAAUAUCUGGGAUUUUCUGGUUAUUGUGGCUACCCCAAAGCAUUUUUUUUGCUUAUGUCUUUGUUCCUGUAUUCCAUUCAGUUUAUUUAUAAUUAACCCUUUAUUUGAUGGUGCCUGGUAAUAUUUAAUUUCAAUCCCUUUUUGCUAUGUUACCUCCCAAGUCUAUCAACCUCAGGGUGGUAACAAUCGCCAUGAGGGGAAAUGUAAUCCGAUUAUUAAAACUUUAAAAUGGAAGGAAAAACAAAUGCAAUAUUUGGAGCAGAGCAGCCUUAACUCUGACAUAAGUUAUAAAAAAGUUUUGAACUUGCCCUGCUGCAUUACACGGAAGCGACUGGAUUUUCAACCCAUCUAUAUAAAAUAAACAUUACUAAA